rnacentral:rRNA from 1 species
GAUGAACGCUGGCGGCGUGCCUAAUACGUGCAAGUCGAGCGAAUGGAUUAAGAGCUUGCUCUUAUGAAGUUAGCGGCGGACGGGUGAGUAACACGUGGGUAACCUGCCCAUAAGACUGGGAUAACUCCGGGAAACCGGGGCUAAUACCGGAUAAUAUUUUGAACUGCAUGGUUCAAAAUUGAAAGGCGGCUUCGGCUGUCACUUAUGGAUGGACCCGCGUCGCAUUAGCUAGUUGGUGAGGUAACGGCUCACCAAGGCAACGAUGCGUAGCCGACCUGAGAGGGUGAGCGGCCACACUGGGGCUGAGACACGGCCCAGACUCCUACGGGAGGCAGCAGUAGGGAAUCUUCCGCAAUGGACGAAAGUCUGACGGAGCAACGCCGCGUGAGUGAUGAAGGCUUUCGGGUCGUAAAACUCUGUUGUUAGGGAAGAACAAGUGCUAGUUGAAUAAGCUGGCACCUUGACGGUACCUAACCAGAAAGCCACGGCUAACUACGUGCCAGCCGCCGCCGUAA